CUGUCCUCCUGUGUUGCAGCAUCAGGCCCCCUGGGGCUGUGCAGUUGAAAGAGACUCCAUGAAAUGGGCAGGACGAAGCUGCUCCACGUGUGUGGGUGAAGCUGGCACCUGGUGGUUGUGCCAGCAGCGCUGGGAUGGUGACGGAGGCAGUUCUGUGACCCAGACACUGGAAGGCUCCCUGGCAGUCCCACUGCAGUACAACACCACAGAAGGCAACUUUUUCUGCCAAUUUUCUUUGCACAGAAGAAGAGAGGGGAAGAAAUAAUUGAAAGAACACUGCUGCAUAGAAAAUGACACUGACGGAGUAAUGCACUUUGGAACUGUGUGCUCUGCCAAAUCCUUGUUUUCUACUCUUUUUUCCUUCCUUUUUUCUUCAGAAAUUUAAAGCUAUUGGUAUUCAUCAGCAUGAUUAGG
rnacentral:lncRNA from 12 species